CCUACGGGUGGCAGCAGUGAGGAAUAUUGGUCAAUGGGCGUAAGCCUGAACCAGCCAAGUCGCGUGAGGGAUGAAGGUUCUAUGGAUUGUAAACCUCUUUUAUAAGGGAAUAAAGUGCGGGACGUGUCCCGUUUUGUAUGUACCUUAUGAAUAAGGAUCGGCUAACUCCGUGCCAGCAGCCGCGGUAAUACGGAGGAUCCGAGCGUUAUCCGGAUUUAUUGGGUUUAAAGGGUGCGUAGGCGGCUUUUUAAGUCAGCGGUGAAAGUCUGUGGCUCAACCAUAGAAUUGCCGUUGAAACUGGGAGUCUUGAGUACGUUUGAGGCAGGCGGAAUGCGUGGUGUAGCGGUGAAAUGCUUAGAUAUCACGCAGAACCCCGAUUGCGAAGGCAGCCUACUAAGCCAUGACUGACGCUGAUGCACGAAAGCGUGGGGAUCAAACAGGAUUAGAUACCCUUGUAGUC
rnacentral:rRNA from 1 species